rnacentral:rRNA from 1 species
UGCGUAGGCGGCCUGUUAAGUAGGGUGUGAAAUGCCAGAGCUCAACUUUGGCAUUGCGCUCUAAACUGGCAGGCUUGAGUGAGAUAGGGGUGUGCGGAACUUCCAGUGGGGCGGUGAAAUGUGUUGAUAUUGGAAGGAACGCCGGUGGCGAAAGCGGCACACUGGGUCUUAACUGACGCUGAUGCACGAAAGCCAGGGGAGCGAACG